AUGUGUAGCGGUGAAAUGCGUAGAUAUAUGGAGGAACACCAGUGGCGAAGGCGGCUCUCUGGUCUGUAACUGACGCUGAGGCUCGAAAGCGUGGGGAGCGAACAGGAUUAGAUACCCUGGUAGUCCACGCCGUAAACGAUGAGUGCUAAGUGUUGGAGGGUUUCCGCCCUUCAGUGCUGCAGCAAACGCAUUAAGCACUCCGCCUGGGGAGUACGACCGCAAGGUUGAAACUCAAAGGAAUUGACGGGGGCCCGCACAAGCGGUGGAGCAUGUGGUUUAAUUCGAAGCAACGCGAAGAACCUUACCAGGUCUUGACAUCCUUUGACCACUCUAGAGAUAGAGCUUCCCCUUCGGGGGCAAAGUGACAGGUGGUGCAUGGUUGUCGUCAGCUCGUGUCGUGAGAUGUUGGGUUAAGUCCCGCAACGAGCGCAACCCUUAUUGUUAGUUGCCAUCAUUUAGUUGGGCACUCUAGCGAGACUGCCGGUGACAAACCGGAGGAAGGUGGGGAUGACGUCAAAUCAUCAUGCCCCUUAUGACCUGGGCUACACACGUGCUACAAUGGGAAGUACAACGAGUUGCGAAGUCGCGAGGCUAAGCUAAUCUCUUAAAGCUUCUCUCAGUUCGGAUUGUAGGCUGCAACUCGCCUACAUGAAGCCGGAAUCGCUAGUAAUCGCGGAUCAGCACGCCGCGGUGAAUACGUUCCCGGGCCUUGUACACACCGCCCGUCACACCACGAGAGUUUGUAACACCCGAAGUCGGUGAGGUAACCUUUUGGAGCCAGCCGCC
rnacentral:rRNA from 1 species